rnacentral:rRNA from 1 species
UACGUAGGGGGCAAGCGUUGUCCGGAAUCAUUGGGCGUAAAGCGCGUGUAGGCGGCCAGAUAAGUCCGCUGUGAAAUCUCGAGGCUCAACUUCGAGCUGUCGGUGGAAACUGUCUGGCUAGAGUCCGGAAGAGGAGAGUGGAAUUCCUGGUGUAGCGGUGAAAUGCGUAGAUAUCAAGAGGAACACCUGAGGUGAAGACGGGUUGCUAGGCUGACACUGACGCUGAGGCGCGAAAGCCAGGGGAGCAAACGGG